rnacentral:rRNA from 1 species
GACGAACGCUGGCGGCGUGCUUAACACAUGCAAGUCGAACGGAAAGGCCCUGCUUGCAGGGUACUCGAGUGGCGAACGGGUGAGUAACACGUGGGUGAUCUGCCCUGCACUUCGGGAUAAGCUUGGGAAACUGGGUCUAAUACCGGAUAGGAGCCAUCUUUAGUGUGGUGGUUGGAAAGUUUUUUCGGUGUAGGAUGAGCUCGCGGCCUAUCAGCUUGUUGGUGGGGUAAUGGCCUACCAAGGCGGCGACGGGUAGCCGGCCUGAGGGGGUGUACGGCCACAUUGGGACUGAGAUACGGCACCGACUCCGACGGGAGGCAGCAGUGGGGAAUAUUGCACAAUGGGCGCAAGCCUGAUGCAGCGGCGCCGCGUGGGGGAUGAAGGCCUUCGGGUUGUAAACUCCUUUCGCUAGGGACGAAGCUUUUUGUGACGGUACCUAGAUAAGAAGCACCGGCUAACUACGUG